GACGAACGCUGGCGGCGUGCUUAACACAUGCAAGUCGAACGGAAAGGCCCUGCUUGCAGGGUGCUCGAGUGGCGAACGGGUGAGUAACACGUGGGUGAUCUGCCCCUUACUUUGGGAUAAGCCUGGGAAACUGGGUCUAAUACUGGAUAGGACCAUGCUGUAGAUGGUGUGGUGGAAAGAUUAGUUUCGGUAAGGGAUGAGCUCGCGGCCUAUCAGCUUGUUGGUGGGGUAAUGGCCUACCAAGGCGUCGACGGGUAGCCGGCCUGAGAGGGUGGACGGCCACAUUGGGACUGAGAUACGGCCCAGACUCCUACGGGAGGCAGCAGUGGGGAAUAUUGCACAAUGGGCGCAAGCCUGAUGCAGCGACGCCGCGUGGGGGAUGACGGCCUUCGGGUUGUAAACUCCUUUCAGCCAUGACGAAGCCCUUGUGGUGACGGUAGUGGUAGAAGAAGCACCGGCUAACUACGUG
rnacentral:rRNA from 1 species